rnacentral:rRNA from 1 species
GAUGAACGCUGGCGGCGUGCCUAAUACAUGCAAGUCGAGCGAACAGACGAGGAGCUUGCUCCUCUGACGUUAGCGGCGGACGGGUGAGUAACACGUGGAUAACCUACCUAUAAGACUGGGAUAACUUCGGGAAACCGGAGCUAAUACCGGAUAAUAUAUUGAACCGCAUGGUUCAAUAGUGAAAGACGGUUUUGCUGUCACUUAUAGAUGGAUCCGCGCCGCAUUAGCUAGUUGGUAAGGUAACGGCUUACCAAGGCAACGAUGCGUAGCCGACCUGAGGGGGUGAUCGGCCACACUGGAACUGAGACACGGUCCAGACUCCUACGGGAGGCAGCAGUAGGGAAUCUUCCGCAAUGGGCGAAAGCCUGACGGAGCAACGUCGCGUGAGUGAUGAAGGUCUUCGGAUCGUAAAACUCUGUUAUUAGGGAAGAACAAAUGUGUAAGUAACUAUGCACGUCUUGACGGUACCUAAUCAGAAAGCCACGGCUAACUACGUG